GUUGAACGCUGGCGGCAUGCCUUACACAUGCAAGUCGAGCGGCAGCGCGGGGGCAACCCUGGCGGCGAGCGGCGAACGGGUGAGUAAUGCAUCGGAACGUGUCCUCUUGUGGGGGAUAACCAGUCGAAAGACUGGCUAAUACCGCAUGAGCUCGAGAGAGGAAAGCGGGGGACCGCAAGGCCUCGCGCGAGAGGAGCGGCCGAUGUCCGAUUAGCUAGUUGGUGGGGUAAUGGCCCACCAAGGCGACGAUCGGUAGCUGGUCUGAGAGGACGACCAGCCACACUGGGACUGAGACACGGCCCAGACUCCUACGGGAGGCAGCAGUGGGGAAUUUUGGACAAUGGGGGCAACCCUGAUCCAGCCAUGCCGCGUGUGUGAAGAAGGCCUUCGGGUUGUAAAGCACUUUCGGUCCGGAACGAAAU
rnacentral:rRNA from 1 species